rnacentral:rRNA from 1 species
CCUACGGGAGGCAGCAGUGGGGGAUAUUGCACAAUGGGGGAAACCCUGAUGCAGCGACGCCGCGUGUGGGAAGACGGUCUUCUGGAUUGUAAACUACUGUCCCCAGGGACGAAGAUGACGGUACCUGGUGAGGAACCUCCGCUAACUUACUUCCCAGCAGCCGCGGUAUUACGUAGGGAGCAAGCGUUGACGGGAAUUACUGGGGGAAAGGGGAGCGUAGGCGGGAUGGAAAGUUGGGUGUAAAAUCUACCGGCUAAACUGGUAGUCGCACUCAAAACUGCUAUGCUUGAGUGAAGUAGAGGCAGGCGGAAUUCCUAGUGUAGCGGUGAAAUGCGUAGAUAUUAGGAGGAACACCAGUGGCGAAGGCGGCCUGCUGGGCUUUUACUGACGCUGAGGCUCGAAAGUGUGGGGAGCAAACAGGAUUAGAUACCCCUGUAGUC